rnacentral:rRNA from 1 species
AUUGAACGCUGGCGGCAGGCCUAACACAUGCAAGUCGAGCGAGAGGCGGACGGGUGAGUAAUGUCUGGGAAACUGCCUGCUGGAGGGGGAUAACUACUGGAAACGGUAGCUAAUACCGCAUACCAUCAGAUGUGCCCAGAUGGGAUUAGCUAGUAGGUGGGGUAACGGCUCACCUAGGCGACGAGCCCUAGCUGGUCUGAGAGGAUUACCAGCCACACUGUAAGUGUGACACGGUCCAGACUCCUACGGGAGGCAGCAGUGGGGAAUAUUGCACCAUGGGCGCAAGCCUGAUGCAGACAUGCCGCGUGUAUGAAGAAGGCCUUCGGGUUGUAAAGUACUUUCAGCGGGGAGGCGUUACCCGCAGAAGAAGCACCGGCUAACCCCGUGCCAGCAGCCGCGGUAAUAC